rnacentral:pre_miRNA from 1 species
CUCCUCAGAUCAGAAGGUGAUUGUGGCUUUGAGUAAAUAUUAAGCAGCCACAGCACUGCCUGGUCAGA